GUGUCUGUGGCUGAAUGGUGAGGCAACGGACUGCAAAUCCGUAUCAUGCAGGUUCAAAUCCUGUCAGACACUCCA
rnacentral:tRNA from 1 species